AUGGAACAAUUAGUGGUGAAGCAAACAGAAGAGGACAUCAAGAAGAAUAGGCUUCGUCUUAGAGUAACAAUCGAUGCACUACGGUGGUUAGCAUUCCAAGCUUGCCCCUUCCCUGGGCAUGAUGAAAGUCUUGAUUCAAGGAACCAAGGUAAUUUUCUUGAAAUGGUCAAAUUGGUAGCUUCUUAUGAUGAGGAAAUUGGUGCAGUUGUAUUGGGUAAUGCUCCAGGGAAUGCUAAGUAUACCUCACCUACAAUUCAGAAAGAACUUCUGCAUAUGAUUGCUUUUAAUGUGCAAAAAUAA
rnacentral:rRNA from 1 species